UACGUAGGGUGCAAGCGUUAAUCGGAAUUACUGGGCGUAAAGCGUGCGCAGGCGGUUAUAUAAGACAGAUGUGAAAUCCCCGGGCUCAACCUGGGAACCGCAUUUGUGACUGUAUAGCUAGAGUACGGUAGAGGGGGAUGGAAUUCCGCGUGUAGCAGUGAAAUGCGUAGAUAUGCGGAGGAACACCGAUGGCGAUGGCAAUCCCCUGGACCUGUACUGACGCUCGUGCACGAAAUCGUGGGGAGCAAACAGG
rnacentral:rRNA from 1 species